AACGAACGCUGGCGGCAUGCCUAACACAUGCAAGUCGAACGAGACCUUCGGGUCUAGUGGCGCACGGGUGCGUAACGCGUGGGAACCUGCCCUUAGGUUCGGAAUAACUCCCCGAAAGGGGUGCUAAUACCGGAUAAUGUCUUCGGACCAAAGAUUUAUCGCCUUUGGAUGGGCCCGCGUUGGAUUAGCUAGUUGGUAGGGUAAAAGCCUACCAAGGCGACGAUCCAUAGCUGGUCUGAGAGAAUGAUCAGCCACACUGGGACUGAGACACGGCCCAGACUCCUGCGAGAGGCAGCAGUGGGGAAUAUUGGACAGUGGGAGAAAGCCUGAUCCAGCAAUGCCGCGUGAGUGAUGAAGGCGUUAGGGUUGUAAAGCUCUUUUACCCGGGACGAUAAUGACAGUACCGAGAGAAUAAACUCCGGCUAAUUCCGU
rnacentral:rRNA from 1 species